GGUCCUUGGUCAUUUAGAGGAAGUAAAAGUCGUAACAAGGUUUCCGUAGGUGAACCUGCGGAAGGAUCAUUAUCGUAGGGCUUCGGCCCUGUCGAGAUAGAACCCUUGCCUUUUUGAGUACCUUUCGUUUCCUCGGCAGGCUCGCCUGCCAAUGGGGACCACAAAAAACACUUUGCAGUACCUGUAACAGUCUGAACAAACAAACAAAAAUUAAAACUUUCAACAACGGAUCUCUUGGUUCUGGCAUCGAUGAAGAACGCAGCGAAAUGCGAUAAGUAGUGUGAAUUGCAGAAUUCAGUGAAUCAUCGAAUCUUUGAACGCACAUUGCGCCCUUUGGUAUUCCUUAGGGCAUGCCUGUUCGAGCGUCAUUUAAACCUUCAAGCUAAGCUUGGUGUUGGGUGACUGUCCGCUUCACGGCGGACUCGCCUCAAAAUUAUUGGCGGCCGGUACAUUGGCUUCGAGCGCAGCAGAAACGCGAACUCGGGCCCGUCGUAUUGGCUCCCAGAAGCUA
rnacentral:rRNA from 1 species